rnacentral:ncRNA from 1 species
UACAAGCUUGGUUCUAGCUUAAGAUUUAGCCCUCCUCUACCUGCCACAUGCAAGCUCCGAAGCGAUCCAGCAAGAUGAAAGAAUUUUCCUAAAAACUUUUUCGACGGAUAAGUUUACUACCUAACUACUAGCCCUCACUUGCGGUCAGCAGUGCUUAACUUUAUAAAAUUUGGGAAACCAAGAAAUAGACAAGAGGAAAAAGGAUGGUUAAUAACGUGCCAGCAGCCGCGGUUACACGUUAAGCCUAAGUUAAAUCAGACCGGUCCAAAGGAGGAAAGGCUACAAGAUUUAUUUUAAAGACAACACCUAGCAGUAGCAAGCUAAAGACAAAAAAAUAAAAUAGCAGAGCCCAACUGAAAAGGAGAGAAAUAAACUGGAAUUAGAUACUCCACUAUACUCUCCAGUAAACCAGACAAACACCAGAGUAGUACGGUUCACACUAAAACUUAAAGAACUUGGCGGUUUUCUAGCCCUUUUCGGAGGAGCUUGUCAUUGAAUUGAUAACCCACAAGGGACCUCACCAUCCUUUGACCCCCAGCCUGUAUACCAUCGCCGUCAGCUCACCUCCCAGAAAGUGAACUAAAAGGGAACACCCUUUACGUCAGAUCAAGGUGCAGCCAAUAGGAUGGGAAUCGAUGAGCUACUUUACUUAAGAACUGAGGACUUAUCACUGAAAAGUGAUCCCGAAAGAGGAUUCGACAGUAAUUCUUUAAAGAGACACCAAAUGAAACCAGCUCUAGAAUGCGCACACAUCGCCCGUCACUCUCGUCAAACGAGGAGAAAAGUCGUAACAUAGUAGGUGUACUGGAAAGUGCACCUGGUAAAAG